GAACGUGGCCGGGGACGAUCCACGUCUCCUCCGCAGGGCCCGCCCGUCAGCCCCGGGGGCCGGCGCCCUUCUCAUCCCCGCCCGAUUUCACGCGUUAGAUACUGGUCACCACCUACUCAUGAACUGGAUUGCUGUCCUUAAAAAGACCCUGCUCUGUAACACUGACUCAGCACUAAACCUCCCUUAGGGCCACUAAAUAUUUUGUGCCUAUGGCACUGUGGAGAUGGACUGCUCGAGACUGGAUCUCACACGGUGACCUGUUCUGACCCAUGGCCGUCAGCCUGAAAUACACCAGGGACCCGCACAAGUCCAAGAUCUGCUGGGCUGGAGGAAGGAAACUGCAGCAUGACCAGUGUAGAGGGUGCAUCUCUCAUGCCAGCACAUACUCAUUGUAUCACAAAGAAAAACAC